AUGGGCGAAAGCCUGACGGAGCAAUACCGCGUGAGGGAGGAAGGCUCUUGGGUUGUAAACCUCUUUUCUCAAGGAAUAAUAAGUUGAAGGUACUUGAGGAAUCAGCGUCGGCUAACUCCGUGCCAGCAGCCGCGGUAAUACGGAGGAUGCAAGCGUUAUCCGAAAUGAUUGGGCGUAAAGGGUCCGCAGGUGGUCAGACAAGUCUGUUGUUAAAGAAUCUGGCUUAACUAGAUAAAUGCAAUGGAAACUGUAAGACUAGAGGAUAGUAGGGGUAGAGGGAAUUCCCAAUGUACCGGUGAA
rnacentral:rRNA from 1 species